rnacentral:tRNA from 1 species
GGGGCGAUAGCUUACGAGGACGGAGCGCCGGUCUGAAAAACCGGAGGGUGCUGGUUCGAUACCAGUUCGCCCCA